rnacentral:lncRNA from 1 species
AGUCAAUUACAUAUAGAGCUUUUUCAGGGACCAGUAUAUAAGAGAGAAAACGACCAAAUCCAUGGGCUCAACCCUAUGGAGUUGGUCGUCUUCAGACCCUGAGCUCCCCUUACUCUUUCUCCAACUCCUUUUUGGGCCCCCAUUCCUCGUACGAGGCCUUAUUCAUUUGUCCUUCUGUGUGAUAGUUUGAAAAUACUUCUGAG